AAUAUUGCACGAUGGGGGAAACCCUGAUGCAGCGACGCCGCGUGAGCGAAGAAGGCCUUCGGGUCGUAAAGCACUGUCCUUAGGGAAGAAACGGACGGUACCCUAGGACGAAGCCACGGCUAACUACGUGCCAGCAGCCGCGGUAAUACGUAGGUGGCAAGCGUUGUCCGGAAUUACUGGGCGUAAAGAAUGCGUAGGCGGUCUUUUAAGUGGGAUGUGAAAUCCCUGGGCUCAACCCAGGAACUGCAUUCCAAACUGGAAGACUAGAGUGCGGGAGAGGAAAUUGGUAUUCCCAGUGUAGCGGUGAAAUGCGUAGAGAUUGGGAGGAACACCAGUAGCGAAGGCGAAUUUCUGGAACGUAACUGACGCUGAGGCAUGAAAGCGUGGGGAGCAAACAGG
rnacentral:rRNA from 1 species